rnacentral:RNase_P_RNA from 1 species
GGAGUGGGCCGUGCGACCGCUGUGACGGCAGGCCCUUGUGGACGCCGUCAUGGAGGAAAGUCCGGGCUCCACAGGACACGGUGGUGGGUAACACCCACCGUCUGCGAAGACCGGGACAGUGCCACAGAAAACAGACCGCCGAUGGCCCGCCCCUCCCGGGGUGGGAUCAGGUAAGGGUGAAACGGUGCGGUAAGAGCGCACCGCGGCUGCUGGUGACAGCGCCGGCACGGUAAACCCCACCGGGAGCAAGACCAAGCAGGGCGAAGGGUCGGUCCGGCCCGUUUGACGUCCGGGUAGGUCGCGCGAGGCGACGGGUAACCGUCGUCCCAGACAAAUGGUCGCACCCGACAGAACCCGGCUUACAGGCCCACUCCUUUU